rnacentral:rRNA from 1 species
GGGCGCAGCCUGAUCCAGCAUGCCGCGUGUGUGAAGAAGGCCUGCGGGUUGUAAAGCACUUUAAGCAGGAAAGAAGGGUGGGGUGUUAAUACCAUCUCACAUUGACGUUACCUGCAGAAUAAGCACCGGCUAACUCCGUGCCAGCAGCCGCGGUAAUACGGAGGGUGCGAGCGUUAAUCGGAAUUACUGGGCGUAAAGCGCGCGUAGGCGGUUUGAUAAGUCUGAU